GUCUGAGGAGAGGGAGGUUCCUCUGCUAAAGUUGUCAGGAUUUGGCCAGGGUUGUUCCGAUUUUGGUCACUAGAUGCCCCCAUUGUGCUUUUUGACCCUUUUGUUUUCCCUUGUUCCCAGGUAUGAUUUGCACCUGUGCCUCGUUUCCCUUGAUUGUAUUUAAGCCCUUAGUUUUCCUCAGUUCUUUGCUCUGUGUUUGAAUGUUGGCACCCAGCCCCAGAAAUGCUGUGAACAUUUGUUGUGCCAGUUGGACUCUCUUGUGUAAAACAUCCGUACCUAUAACGACUUUGUGGAUUACCUGAGUGACCCCUCCAAGCGGAAUGACAUUGAGAGGGAGCUGGCUGAGGCAAAGAUGUCCUCUUUGAGCUGGUGCUGUUUGGGAUGAUGACAGCUCAGAAGUCCCUGAUGGUGUGGGAGAAUUGUAUACAUGAUUUGAUAACAAAAGAGAAAAGGUACACUUAUGGGUGCAUUCCAUGUUCUGGUAAAAUGCCUUCCAGUUCUCUGCUGCCAAUGACUGGAACGAACUACAAAAAUCUCUUAAAUUGGAAACACUUAUCUCCCUCACUAGCUUUAAGCACCAACUGUCAGAGCAUCUUACAGAUUACUGCACCUGUACAUAGCCCACCUAUAAUUUAGCCCAAACAACUACCUCUUUCCCAACUGUAUUUAAUUUAUUUAUUUAUUUUGCUCCUUUGCACCCCAUUAUUUUUAUUUCUACUUUGCACAUUCUUCCAUUGCAAAACUACCAUUCCAGUGUUUUACUUGCUAUAUUGUAUUUACUUUGCCACCAUGGCCUUUUUUGCCUUUACCUCCCUUCUCACCUAAUUUGCUCACAUUGUAUAUAGACUUUUUUUUUUUUUUACUGUAUUAUUGACUGUAUGUUUGUU